AAGGAGGGUUUGCUAUGUGCACUUUAAGAUGCAAUUAUAUAUUCACUGACUUGGGAGUAACCCCCAAUAAACUCAGUGGAGCCAAUUUUGGAUGGACUUGUAUUUAUUUAUUUUGAUUUUAAAAUACUUAUCCCACUUUAUAAUAGAAAAUUUCACAGCAGUGUAUAAUAAAAUUAAUUUAAUGCUUUUCUAGAUGUGUCAAAUGUGUCAGGCGUUUAUCUAAACUGUGGCUGUAUAUUCCAUUUUAAAAUGACUGUAAAUUAUAUUUUGCCCAUCAUACAAUAUUUAGGCUAGUAAUCUCCUUUCUCAUUGUUAAGAUGUAUUAUGAAACUGCAUUAUAUGCCAGUGUAAAUGGAACUGGUGCCACAAUGAGUCGUAUCUCUUUCUUCAUGUGAAAAUAUGAAAAGGGGACCGUGCUAUGUCAUCAUGUUUGUAGGUUUCCCCUUUGAAUCAGACAUGUAACAUAAAGGUGUGAUCACAUCCACUCUCACAAAAUUCAUAGGAUACACAACAGACAUUCUGGUAUGUGAUGAUGUCCAUAUUGCCUAUUUGAAAAUCACUGAAAGCCAAUACAUGUCAUAUAGUCUUCUUAGAUCAGACUGAGCCCUGAUUGCAAUUUGGGAUUCACAUCUUUAAAGUUUAUUUGUGUCCCUGACAAUGAAAAGUCUAAAUAUUUAGCACUUUCAAUUAGUGAAUAAGAGGAUUGUCAUGCUCUUGACUGUAAUAUUUAACCAUCUCUCUCCACUCUCAUUCUAGAUAAGAGUUCUUCCUUUUUAUUUCUUUCCCUAAAUCAGAACUUAUUUUAGUUGAAUCUGAAUCACACUUUUCCUCUAAGACAGUGGUUCCCAACCUUCUGCCAUUUCAACUUCAUAGGCAGUCAGAGAAGAUCAUAACUUCCCACUUUCACCCUGUUCACUUCCUUUUAAGACAGUGGUUCCCAACCUUCCUAAUGCCACGACCCCUUAAUACAGUUCCUCAUGUUGUGGUAACCCCCAACCAUAAAAUUAUUUUCAUUGCCACUUCAUAACUGUUAUUUUGCUACUGUUAUGAAUAUAACAU
rnacentral:lncRNA from 1 species